UCCGGUUCAUCACCAGCAGUCCCCUUAGAGUGCUCACCAUUACAUGUUAGCAACUAAGGGCAAGGGUUGCGCUCGUUACGGGACUUAACCCAACAUCUCACAACACGAGCUGACGACAGCCAUGCAGCACCUGUCUCUGCGUUCCUUUCGGCACUCCAGCCUCUCAGCUAGAUUCGCAGGAUGUCAAGAGUAGGUAAGGUUCUUCGCGUUGCAUCGAAUUAAACCACAUGCUCCACCGCUUGUGCGGGCCCCCGUCAAUUCCUUUGAGUUUCAACCUUGCGGCCGUACUCCCCAGGCGGAGAACUUAUCGCGUUAGCUUCGAUACGGAAAGGUCGCCCCCCCCACAUCUAGUUCUCAUCGUUUACGGCGUGGACUAC
rnacentral:misc_RNA from 1 species